rnacentral:rRNA from 1 species
GAUCAUGGCUCAGGACGAACGCUGGCGGCGCGCCUAACACAUGCAAGUCGAACGAGAGAUGAGGAGCUUGCUCUUCAAAUCGAGUGGCGAACGGGUGAGUAACGCGUGAGGAACCUGCCUCAAAGAGGGGGACAACAGUUGGAAACGACUGCUAAUACCGCAUAAGCCCACUGCUCGGCAUCGAGCAGGGGGAAAAGGAGUGAUCCGCUUUGAGAUGGCCUCGCGUCCGAUUAG